rnacentral:lncRNA from 1 species
ACAUACUUGUCUGUUCGUAAAGUUUUACAAAGUGUGAAUGGAAAAUGGAGAAAAUUAGUGGGGAAAAAGUGAAAAUACACAUAAAAGGAAAGUGUGCUCACAAUAAGGAAAGUUUACUAAUUCUCCCACAUUGGUGGGAGAAUGAAACUUUCAUAUGUUCUUACUAAGAAACACAACUCCACAUGGAUAGUGAGGCAAGAACCAAGAGGUGCGUCGCGCCGUCAUCGUCGUCGCUCGCUCGGCUUUGAAUUUGGAUUUGGAUUUGAAAAAUGAUCGAUCGAUGAGACUAAUUUUUUUGAUAAAAUCACACUAUAUGACUGUUUGGAUGGUUGUGGUUGUUUGAAAAAGAUACACUGUUUCUAAUGGAUAGACAUGACUAUUCAGAAAAGAUACAUCUUUUUGAUGAACCAUUGCCUCCUUUUCAAAGGGGCACUUUAUGGCUAUAUAAACCUACAUUUUUUCAUAGGUUUAGUAGUAAAAAAUUUUCUGCAUUACAAAUACUUCUUGUCUUCUAAAAACUACGUGUGAUAAUCUCCCGUUGAGUGAGUUCGAAGAAAACCAGAACGUUUGAGGUACCGCUACAGUCUGGUUGUGAAGCCAUUUUAUCCUGGGAGGAAAAUUUCGCAACCUCGGGUACUUGACGGAAAUUAUUUUCUUAAGGACACUUCGUGAAUUCGAAGGACUUGGCUCAUUCUGUUUCAUCUUUUUUCUUAAUAAAAAUAACACACUUCUUUGAUAGUUCAUAUUGAACUUGUGUUGAAGGUGUUGGAAAACUUCACAAGUGUUCUUGAAAAGUCUUGAACUUGUGUUGAAGUUUAUUGAACUAACAUAUACAUUGUGUACCCGAAACAACAGAUACUAGCAAAAACACAUAAAAAUCUAAUACUUCAUCUGAUAGUUGAGCCGGGGGGUCUUUUGAAAAUAGUCUCUACUUCAUUUGAGGAAAUGGUACGAACUGUGUACACUUUAUCCUCCACAAAUCCCACUUUAUGAGAAAACCGCUGGGUAUGUUGUUGUAGUUUGGCUGAUAGUUGAUGUCAAGAUUCAUUUUAGUUGCUUAAGAUUGAAGAUUUAAUGAUUUGAAGAUAGAAAUCAAUCAACGAUAACAUCUCAGUAAGAUAUGAGAGAAAGAAAGAUACAGAUUAGAGCAUAUGCAGACGCUAUCUUCACUUUAUGAAUAUAGAAAAAUUAUUUAUAAAAGAUCAUCUGUUCAAGUAACGUAAGAUAGUAACCAAUGAGGAUUGAAAUCUCAUUUAGUUAGAUUGUUA